rnacentral:rRNA from 1 species
GAUGAACGCUGGCGGCGUGCUUAACACAUGCAAGUCGAGCGAGAAGUUUUGAAAAGAUUCUUCGGAUGAAAUUUAAAAUGGAAAGCGGCGGACGGGUGAGUAACGCGUAGGCAACCUGCCCCAUACAAAGGGAUAGCAUUCGGAAACGAAUAUUAAUACCUUAUGAAACUUAACUAGUGCAUGCUAGGUAGGUCAAAGAUUUAUCGGUAUGGGAUGGGCCUGCGUCUGAUUAGCUAGUUGGUGAGGUAACGGCUCACCAAGGCGACGAUCAGUAGCCGACCUGAGAGGGUGAACGGCCACAUUGGAACUGAGACACGGUCCAAACUCCUACGGGAGGCAGCAGUGGGGAAUAUUGCACAAUGGGGGAAACCCUGAUGCAGCAACGCCGCGUGAACGAUGAAGGCCUUUGGGUCGUAAAGUUCUGUUCUAGGUGAUGAAAACUGACAGUAACCUAGGAGAAAGCCCCGGCUAACUCCGUG